ACGUGGCGGAGGUUACACAUGCAGUCGAGCGGAAACGAUGGGAGCUGCUCCCAGGCGUCGAGCGGCGGACGGGUGAGUAACGCGUAGGAAUCUGCCUAGUAGUGGGGGAUAGCCCGGGGAAACUCGGAUUAAUACCGCAUACGCCCUACGGGGGAAAGCAGGGGAUCUUUCGGGACCUUGCGCUAUUAGAUGAGCCUGCGUCGGAUUAGCUUGUUGGUGGGGUAAAGGCCUACCAAGGCGACGAUCCGUAGCUGGUCUGAGAGGAUGAUCAGCCACACCGGAACUGAGACACGGUCCGGACUCCUACGGGAGGCAGCAGUGGGGAAUAUUGGACAAUGGGGAACCCUGAUCCAGCCAUGCCGCGUGUGUGAAGAAGGCCUUCGGGUUGUAAAGCACUUUCAGAUGUGAGGAAAGGUGAGUAGUUAAUACCUGCUUACUGUGACGUUAGCAUCAGAAGAAGGACCGGCUAACUCCGUGCCAGCAGCCGCGGUAAUACGGAGGGUCCGAGCGUUAAUCGGAAUUACUGGGCGUAAAGCGCGCGUAGGUGGUUUUUGUCAGUCAGAUGUGGAAAGCCAGGGCUCAAACUUGGAACUGGACCUGAUACUGGAAGACUACAAGUCAUUCGAGGGGAGUGGAAUUCCGGUGUAGCGGGGAAUGCUAAAAAUCGAAGGACCCCGGGGGAAGGGACUCCGGAUGAACUGACCGGAGGGCAAGCGUGGGAGC
rnacentral:rRNA from 1 species